AAUCGUAACAAGGUUUCCGUAGGUGAACCUGCGGAAGAUCAUAGUAAUCGUCUUUGACGUACGCUUAGUCUCCGUCGUCCUCGGGACGUUAAGGUGCUCUGGUCGAGGAUAAACGACCCCUCUGACCGAGGCUAAUCCGUCGCGCCUUUCCGUGUUACCGUCCGCGGCACACGUUAAAGAUCGUUCCGCGUUGUGAGUCUUUCUGGUUGUAAAAAACACUUUACAACCGGUAGCGAUGGAUCCCUUGGCACGUCAUUCGAUGAAGACCGUUGCAAAUUGCGAUAAAGUGAUGUGAUGCGCAAGUCCACCACUUAUACGUGAAUCAUCGAGUUGUUGAACGCAUUGCACCGCGCCCUAAACCGGCUGCGGUAUGCCCCUUUGAGCGUCAUUACAUCCUUCGGGAGUCUCCUUUGCUGGAGACCCGAGUUCGGAGUCCUCGGUCCUCUCGGGAUCGUGUUCUCUCAGAUGCAUCGCGCCGAUCGCUUUGAUGGGUAACUCUAAUGCCUGAGCGUGGAGUCCCUCUGAAGCCGAGACGUGCUAGACCGGGUGUUGAGCCUGUGUCGCCAAGUCCGCUCGUUCGCGACGUUUGGUACUACAACCUCAUGACCUCAUUGGGGUAGGACAACCCGCUAGACUUAAGCAUAUCAAUAGCGGAGGAA
rnacentral:rRNA from 1 species